AUUGAUUCUCCACAUAAAGUUAGCAAUGACCUGAGGAAGGAGGAAGAAGUCCUGAACCAGGCCCAGAUACUCCUCCAGCUCCGUCUCCCAUUCGCGUAUCACAUGUGAAUAACCCGUGGAAUCGACAAAAUGUGCCGUUUGAAGAGGUUUGUAACUUGUAUUCACAUAGUGCACAAUGAGAGCAAUGAUAUAUCCAAUAACAUGUAGGCUUAAGGUUGAGAAAAGUACUUUCUUGUCACUUGGAACACGGUGAGGCUCGAGAGGGGCGCGUGUCUGCAAUCUGAUGCGCGAUUUCCACACCUUCUGGCAGAGCCGAAGAGUUAGUGAAAAUGCUACCAGUACGAGGACCUUCACAGUGUAGUCGAUUACGUGCAGCCAUUGGCUGUUCUGUAGGUCAUCAGAUUGGCUUUCACUGAACUCCGUGGAUGCCUUUUUCAAGAGAGCUUCGGCGCCUGUGAUUAGAGGGAAGCUGUACCCUAGAGCUUGUACUCCCAGCAUCACGAGAGAUACAUAAGGAACGGAUUCCGUGUUACCUCUAAUGUAAAACAACUGGCUCAAAAUGCAAGCGAUUGCAACGGAGAGUGUCAAAAUGCGGAGGAUUCCCUCCAUGCCUCUACGUGAAAUAAUGUCUUCGCGCUGCCUUCUAUACAUGAUGGGAACUGUUUGGAGCUUCGCUGGAACAAAGUAGAGUGGAUCAUCUUCACUCCGGUGGCUAGUGAUCGAGAUUCUGGCAGUCGGAUUGACCAACCACCGGGCUGUAGUCGGGGGAUAUGAAAUCAUCACCUCGACCAAGCAAUCCAGCCCGGCUUCAAGGUCCAUGCUUUCAUAUAAGGUCUUCCACGAGGCUCGAACAUCCCUGCAACCACUAGAUACAUCUUCCAACGUGUGGAUCGUAAAUCCCCUCCACAAACAGUGACGAGAAGUUGGAAUACCGGUUUCCAACAAGAUUAAGCUGACCGGAAACAUUGAGGAGGAGUUGGCUCUCGGUGUAUUCGCCUUUAUUGGAGUAAGGGGUCUCUUUCUGUAAGGUUGAAUCAUAUUUCCGGGCCAAUAACGCCCGAACAAAGGGCCAAGCGAUAGAAUCUCCAUCUCUAAGUCAGCUUUUGCUAGAGAAGAUUUAGGAAACGGAUCAGGUACAGCAGCUAUGUGAAGGGUAAGAUCUUCAGCUAAAAGAGAGAGGCUAUAAUGAAAAUUCCCCAAUGUCUUCUAUUUUGGGAAACUUCAAGAGUGAUUUCUUAAUCACAGUCCCAAAGUUAAAAGGCUCGUCUCUCUCGAGGAUAGCACCAGCAGAAGCAAUCUUAGAGUAGUGUAAUAUGGAUGAGUAGCAGUGAAUUGAUCCCAUAACUCAGCAGGACGGACUAGCUUUUCAAAUGCUAACGGGAAAUAUGGCGAAUGAGAGGUAUCAAUGCUCGACAUAGUACCAAGAAGUAUGCUACGCUGUUUUAUGGAGAAAGAAAGAGGAACAUACAAGCAGAUGCGAGUAUCACAGCCACUCCCGUCCGAGCAACCAACCAUGCAGAGCUGUCCGCUCGAAGACUUCCAUAUCCCUUCAGCUGAAAGAGUCAUGUUACCAAGCCCGGUCCUUUGUGCUGCAGUGAAACGAUUCUCGGAAGGAGGAACAGCUCUGAACACGGAAGACACCCUCGUGACCAACCACUGUCCUUUGAAGUCAUAUUCUCACAGCGGACAUCUUGAAGAACGAGCUUCACAUUUUUGAAGCUCCCAUCGGUAGCAUUAAUCUCCUUAUCCGACGCAAACGGGCCUAACCUACUGCAGAAAUCAUCCGUGCCAUUGCACUUCCAGUUUGGCUAGAAUGGUCAGGGCUUCUUGGUGAGUGAACCUCUCGAGUAUGUCACAGAAGUCAAAGCCCUUUAUAUACAUCAAUAUCACCAUUAACAAAGCUAUCUUUAUACGGAUAAGGAUCACAAGCUUUUGAGACAAGAUUUUCAGAGNGACUCUCCCAAAAACAUGAUAGUAGAUUUUAUAAAGCGAAAUUAAUACCCGAAUUAUUGACUUUUUAAGAACAGAACCCCAAAACACUAUAACUCAUACACAAAUCUCAUAAGAUCAUUAGCCAUAUUAUAUAUAGUAGUGAGAUUUUGCUUUGCUGAAUCUCUACCUACCAACCCAUCCAAAUUCUACUAAAAUGACCACCAUUUCAAUUUAUACACAACAAAAAUCAACUGCAUGUUCCAGUGUGGAAGUAGGCCAACAUUCAGAAGAUAUAUAUCUUAUAAUUCAUAAAGCACAUUAUAAGACAAAAGGGAAUGAAACUGGCCUUGCUCUUAAGCUAGAAUUUUUUUUUUUGUAUCGGAAAAAGUUAAUGUUAGAUGUGCUCUUAAGCUAGAAUUGAUUUGUCAUUUACAUCUAAAACUACACCUUUGUCAGAGAAGUCAGAUAUAUGAAUCCUGAUCAUUAUGUGUCACGUCCCUCCUCGCACGUCGAGUUCUUGUUAACACCAGAAGAAAGCUCAGCCUCAUGAGAUACAGAGGGCAAUCUCUCAUACACUUUGGAACCCAAAGGCAAAAACUUUGCUCUGCCCAAUCGAAGCGUUUGGCUGAGCCUCUCAUAAUUCCAUCUCUGCUGAAUAUAAACAGCAGCUGCUAGAAGAACCGCGAUUGCCGGUAUAGCAACAUCACCAAACUUGGAAAAGAAAUCCAUCCGAGGAUUCACAAAUUCAUACUCCUCGGAGAAGUAAGGAUUCGGUAUGGCGAUGUUAUGUAAUCAUAUGCGUGGGGCAGAAGCCGGACGGAAGUUAUCCCGAUGUAGUACAGCUCCCGCAGAGGUUUGACAUUGAUUCUCCACAUAAAGUUAGCAAUGACCUGAGGAAGGAGGAAGAAGUCCUGAACCAGGCCCAGAUACUCCUCCAGCUCCGUCUCCCAUUCGCGUAUCACAUGUGAAUAACCCGUGGAAUCGACAAAAUGUGCCGUUUGAAGAGGUUUGUAACUUGUAUUCACAUAGUGCACAAUGAGAGCAAUGAUAUAUCCAAUAACAUGUAGGCUUAAGGUUGAGAAAAGUACUUUCUUGUCACUUGGAACACGGUGAGGCUCGAGAGGGGCGCGUGUCUGCAAUCUGAUGCGCGAUUUCCACACCUUCUGGCAGAGCCGAAGAGUUAGUGAAAAUGCUACCAGUACGAGGACCUUCACAGUGU
rnacentral:lncRNA from 1 species